rnacentral:rRNA from 1 species
CGCGUAGGCGGAUCGUUAAGUCAGAGGUGAAAUCCCAGGGCUCAACCCUGGAACUGCCCUUGAUACUGGCGAUCUUGAGUGUGAGAGAGGUAUGUGGAACUCCGAGUGUAGAGGUGAAAUUCGUAGAUAUUCGGAAGAACACCAGUGGCGAAGGCGACAUACUGGCUCAUUACUGACGCUGAGGCGCGAAAGCGUGGGAGCAAACA